UUUCAUCCCAGGGUAUAACAGGUGAUUCAGAACUAGCCUUUCAUCCCAGGGUAUAACAGGUGAUUCAGAACUAGCCUUUCAUCCCAGGGUAUAACAGGUGAUUCAGAACUAGCCUUUCAUCCCAGGGUAUAACAGGUGAUUCAGAACUAGCCUUUCAUCCCAGGGUAUAACAGGUGAAUCAGGACUAGCCUUUCAUCCCAGGGUAUAACAGGUGAAUCAGGACUAGCCUUUCAUCCCAGGGUAUAACAGGUGAAUCAGGACUAGCCUUUCAUCCCAGGGUAUAACAGGUGAUUCAGAACUAGCCUUUCAUCCCAGGGUAUAACAGGUGAUUCAGAACUAGCCUUUCAUCCCAGGGUAUAACAGGUGAUUCAGAACUAGCCUUUCAUCCCAGGGUAUAACAGGUGAUUCAGGACUAGCCUUUCAUCCCAGGGUAUAACACCAAUCAACAGGUGAAUCAGGACUAGCCUUUCAUCCCAGGGUAUAACAGGUGAAUCAGGACUAGCCUUUCAUCCCAGGGUAUAACAGGUGAUUCAGAACUAGCCUUUCAUCCCAGGGUAUAACAGGUGAUUCAGGACUAGCCUUUCAUCCCAGGGUAUAACAGGUGAAUCAGGACUAGCCUUUCAUCCCAGGGUAUAACAGGUGAAUCAGGACUAGCCUUUCAUCCCAGGGUAUAUCAUCAAUCAACAGGUGAUUCAGAACUAGCCUUUCAUCCCAGGGUAUAUCAUCAAUCAACAGGUGAAUCAGAACUAGCCUUUCAUCCCAGGGUAUAACAGGUGAAUCAGGACUAGCCUUUCAUCCCAGGGUAUAACAGGUGAUUCA